UUCCUCCAGUAACUACCCACACACACCCACCCCAUCUUAUAAAGUCCUAAUGGAUUACAGCUGGAAUAGCAGAUUAAAAGGAAGUCAGAACACCUGCCUCUGAUCACCAUAAAAACAUCAGCAAAACCUUUUCCUCACAUCGCUGAUGGUUUGCCAGCUUCAUGAAAAGGGAUCUGUAACCGAUAUUAAUUAGAGUGGAAUGUUUGCUAAUUGCUCGUGCUUUAAAAUAAAUACUAAUAUACCUGAGGAAGUGAAAGAAAAGCCAUGGCAGUUGAUUUCAAUGGAUCCUGUUAGUUUAGUGGGGAAUCUGAUCUUAACCAGUGCUUGAGAUUUUUAGUAACAGAUUUACAAUUUACAUGCAAAUGAACAAUUUGAUUGUUUGUUUGUUUCCCCUUAAGCGAAGCCCUCCCACUGUACUAGUUUUGGUGUCUGUGAACUAUCUCACGGCCUGUCUGCCUGACCUCAUGUCGUCUUACCCACCCCUUGCAACACACCUGGUUUUUUUUCCAGUUUUGCAACAAGAUUUAAAGCACCUUUUCCCCCACUCCAUGUUUUGGUAAAACUGCUUUUCUUGGAGAUUCAUAAGAGGGAACCAGAUGGAACAAUAAACAACAAUUUAUUUUAAGGGGUGUUUUAGGAAUGGACAUGGUGGAUUCCAUGAAUUUCCAACAACUAAAGGAAGUAGAACCUGAAGGGUUGCUGAGAAAUUCUGCACAAAGGACUUGAUCCCAAACAACAAAGUAGCUUAUGAAGAUGAAUGGCUUUCUGCAAAGACAACUCAGACUUAGCUCUGCUGGCAUCAUUCUGCUCUUCCAUAGAGAGACAGCGAUUCCUCCACCUGAAAAACAAAUGGACUCUGCAUCUCCCAGGAAAUGCAAGGCCAUGAACUCCAGCCCUGCUGCCCGUGGCACCUGCAUACAGGGGAACCACCGUGCUUUUGGCACUGUGAGCCUGCUGCCUGAGCUGAUGGAGAGGCACAGGGGAACACGCCAA
rnacentral:lncRNA from 1 species